rnacentral:ncRNA from 1 species
GAACGCCGUGUGCGGUGAAAGUCGCACGCACGGUGUGGCGGAGGGGAAAAGGUGGAGUGUGGAAGGUUGGUAACUACUUUUU